rnacentral:rRNA from 1 species
CUACGGGCUGCUCCAGUGAGGAAUAUUGCACAGUGGGGGGAACCCUGAUGCAGCAACGCCGCGUGGAGGAUGACGCAUUUCGGUGUGUAAACUCCUUUUAUAUGUCAAGAAAAUGACGGUAGCAUAUGAAUAAACACUGGCUAACUCCGUGCCAGCAGCCGCGGUAAUACGGAGGGUGCAAGCGUUACUCGGAAUCACUGGGCGUAAAGGACGCGUAGGCGGGUUGGAAAGUCAGGUGUGAAAUCCUACAGCUUAACUGUAGAACUGCACUUGAAGCUUCUAAUCUAGAGUAUGGGAGGGGGAGAUGGAAUUAGUGGUGUAGGGGUAAAAUCCGUAGAUAUCACUAGGAAUACCUAAAGCGAAGGCGAUCUCCUGGAACAUUACUGACGCUAAGGCGUGAAAGCGUGGGGAGCAAACAGGAUUAGAUACCCUUGUAGUC